ensembl:lncRNA
GGCAGCAGUACAUAUCAGAGUUCACUGUUACUGUAAUCUGAGGUGGCAGCAGUACAUAUCAGAGUUCACUGUUACUGUAUUCUGAGGUGGCAGCAGUACAUAUCAGAGUUCACUGUAAUCUGAGGUGGCAGCAGUACAUAUCAGAGUUCACUGUUACUGUAUUCUGAGGUGGCAGCAGUACAUAUCAGAGUUCACUGUUACUGUAAUCUGAGGUGGCAGCAGUACAUAUCAGAGUUCACUGUUACUGUAAUCUGAGGUGGCAGCCGUACAUAUCAGAGUUCACUGUUACUGUAAUCUGAGGUGGCAGCAGUACAUAUCAGAGUUCACUGUUACUGUAAUCUGAGGUGGCAGCAGUACAUAUCAGAGUUCACUGUUACUGUAAUCUGAGGUGGCAGCAGUACAUAUCAGAGUUCACUGUUACUGUAAUCUGAGGUGGCAGCAGUACAUAUCAGAGUUAUUGUAAUAAUCUCACAAGGAAGCGUUGCACAAUAAAUAACCAGACGACAAUCAUUUCUACUAGGUACCAGGUAGCUAGACCUCAUAGUGAAACAGAGAGAGGCAGUUUAAACUGGCAUUUAAGAAAAACUAAACAAUAGAUAUUAGGCGUUCAGUAAGGUGUCCUUAGUCCUGAUAAUGUUUGUACUAGUUAGUAUAAUUCUCAACAAAAGAAAAUGGCUUAUUGUUGUUCAUGAGCAUUUAUCUAAUCAACCACUAUUUCAGUGUUGUUUCACAUUGAGGUGGUCUUUUCGUGGUCUUUUGAUUGUGGGGAUGGUUCAUUUUCUGGUGUAGUGUAGCAUGGAGCGUCAUGCACCACAAUGCAGUCUAUUUAUACACUGAGGGGUUGUGUGUUACUGCAAAGCAUGCUGGGAUCAACAUGAAGAAAUACACUACCUUUUAGAAUCUAAGAAAUCAGACAUUACCCCCUCUCUCUCUCACUCUCCUCUCUCACUCUCACUCCCUCUCUCCCUCCCUCUCCUUCUCUCACGCUGUCCCUCUCUCUCCCUCGCUCACGCUGUCCCUCUCUCACGCUGUCCCUCGCUCUCACGCUGUCCCUCUCUCACGCUGUCCCUCGCUCUCACGCUGUCCCUCUUUUCUUCGCUCUCUCACGCUGUCCCUCCCUCGCUCCCUCUCCUUCUCUCACUCUGUCUCUCCCUCCCUCUCUCUCCCUUUCUCACGCUCUCUCGCUGUCCCUCUCUCUCCUUCGCUCUCUCCCUCUCACACUGUCCCUCUCUCUCACACUGUCCCUCUCUCACGCUGUCCCUCUCUCUCACGCUGUCCCUCUCUCACGCUGUCCCUCUCUCUCACGCUGUCCCUCUCUCACGCUGUCCCUCUCUCUCACGCUGUCCCUCUCUCACGCUGUCCCUCCCUCGCUCCCUCUCCUUCUCUCACUCUGUCUCUCCCUCCCUCUCUCUCCCUUUCUCACGCUCUCUCGCUGUCCCUCUCUCUCCUUCGCUCUUUCCCUCUCACACUGUCCCUCUCUCUCACACUGUCCCUCUCUCACGCUGUCCCUCUUUCUCACGCUGUCCC